AAUAGAUACCCUGGUAGUCCACGCUGUAAACGGUGGGUACUAGGUGUGGGGUCCAUUCCACGGGUUCCGUGCCGUAGCUAACGCUUUAAGUACCCCGCCUGGGGAGUACGGCCCCAAGGCUAAAACUCAAAGGAAUUGACGGGGCCCCGCACAAGCGGCGGAGCGAUGCGGAUUAAUUCGAUGCAACGCGUAGAACCUUACCUGGGUUUGACAUGGAUCGGGAGCGCUCAGAGGUGGGUGUGCCUCUUUUGGGGUCGGUUCACAGGUGGUGCAUGGCUGUCGUCAGCUCGUGUCGUGAGAUGUUAGGUUAAGUCCCGCAACGAGCGCAACCCUUGUUCACUGUUGCCAGCACGUUAUGGUGGGGACUCAGUGGAGACCGCCGGGGUCAACUCGGAGGAAGGUGGGGAUGACGUCAAGUCAGUCAUGCCCCUUAUGUCCAGGGCUUCACGCAUGCUACAAUGGCUGGUACAGAGAGUGGCGAGCCUGUGAGGGUGAGCGAAUCUCGGAAAGCCGGUCUCAGUUCGGAUUGGGGU
rnacentral:rRNA from 1 species